rnacentral:lncRNA from 1 species
AAAGAUCCGAGGACCCUUUUGAAGACCACACUCGGAUUCAACAAACAACAACAAGAACACAAUGUAUUGAUGUGUUUAUCACCUAAAAACAGCGAACAACAAACUAUGUUAACAACAACAAGAUGAAGAACAACAACAAUGGAACAAGAACAACAAGUCACGGAUUUGAAUUGCAAGAACACAAACAAACGAUUACAACAUAAACAAAAUGGAUAGAUAGUUAGACCUAGGUUGGUAUAAUCUUAAGAAUCCAAGAAUAUGGUAAUCUUGGACCCUUAACACUACACAAAACGGUUAACCUAAC